GAUCCGGACGUAUCGACCGCCAGCCCGUAACCGAUCGGCACUUCUUCGCGUGUGAACGACUCGAUUGGUUGAGGCACACCAUCUUCCAUAACGUGAAACUCACUUUGGCGCACGUUAUCGAUGGGACGGUUAUUUCUGUCGAUGACGCGGACGUUUAGAGUUACCAGCUCGGUGUUGACCCUGACGAUACUACCUUCGUCAAUGUCUUCUUCGGGGGGCGUCGGCGUCGGCUUUGGCUUCAACACCGGCGGCGGUGGCGGCUCGCCCAACAUCGGGGCUAUCCGAUCAACGGGCCGAUCAACGGGUGUUUGCCUUGGCGCAGGAGUUGGGGUUGGUGUAGGCGUUGCAGGUCGGGUGACGGGCUGCUGCGUUCUUCAUCGAUGCUUACGUGCACUU
rnacentral:misc_RNA from 1 species